CCGCGGCGAGUAAAUGCUCCCGCCUCCCCCAGCCCUUGCACGACGUCCCACCACGUGCACAGCCGGUCGCCGAAGCCCCGCCAAGGUCAGUGGGAAUUUUUGUCAUUGAGUUUGGUGCAGGCAGGAUUUCCCCCCAUGGACACACACCUCCUCCUGGAAGCACGUGCAUGCGAGUGUUUGUGUAUAUACGUACGCUUUACAGUACAAAGUACUUACAGGAAGGCAUUUUCUCUCUUGAAAUAUUUUCCUUCAACUUCGUAUUUCGUGAAGGCAGACCCUCGCUGUCACAGCCGCAGUUUCUCACAGCUUAACGGUGUUAAAGAGCCCUUCUUGGUCCCGACUGCUGCAAUAACAAUCAGGGGAGGAAGGGGAAAUGAGCAGUGUAGCACACGCUGUACCUUCCAGCCACCAGCUAUUGUUAAGAGCACGUUGCUCCAGACAGAGUGGCAGCAAGGCACGGGGUGGGAAGCAGGUGUAACCUGCCAGGAACACCAGUCUCGCAAAAGUUGAUUUUUAAUUCAGACGAGUACCCCUACUUCCCAGCUGCCUCUCACCACCAAAUUGGAGGACGUUUUACAAUCCUGUCGCUCAACACUUGAAAGCUUAACAAACGCCUUUACGGCAAACGAAGAGCUCAUUUUCUCAUGUCGGCGCUUUGGUCAUUCAUCUGCAAAGUCACCGAGCUUUUUUAAUUCAACUCCCUAUCAUAGUAUUGCAUUUCAUGUGCAACAGUUUGCUCUCAGGAAGCACGUUUCCAGACGCUUUGCUGUAGUUUGGGUUCUUUAGAGUCCAAAAUCUCUCCUCCUUGCUCGUCCAGCUUGUUUUUCUUCUACUCUCUUCAGAAAGUCCCACCAGCAAAGGCUGCCCAGGCUGUGGUAGCCCCAGUGGAGUACUUUGCUCAAGCUAGAUCUACACAGCAGUGACAGUGGACAAGAACAACUUACAAGUAAUUUUGGACCGAACAAGAUACAUCUGUCCCUGUGCUGCACUGGAGAUGCAUCCGUCUGCGCCACGAGAGCUGUCGUUGUCUCCUCAUCUAUCACUUCCCACUUGUGGCAUCGCUUCAUCUAAUCAACAGUAACUUGCCGUCUGCACUGCCAAGAAACUUUGAAAAUGUUCUGAAUUUCGUACCAGGAAAGGCCAUAAGGUGCACUUUGUAUGUCAAACGUCUCAGAAAUUGGUUCUGGGCUACUGCAAACUCUUACCCAAAAUACAUGGGGAUACAGUUCUACGUUGUUUGCUGUUUUUCUGGUUUUGAGCACUGGUAUAAUAUACCCUAAUAAAGCAUUUUACAUUUUGCUUUGCACCUUUCA